GACGAACGCUGGCGGCGUGCCUAAUACAUGCAAGUAGAACGCACAGUUUAUACCGUAGCUUGCUACACCAUAGACUGUGAGUUGCGAACGGGUGAGUAACGCGUAGGUAACCUGCCUGGUAGCGGGGGAUAACUAUUGGAAACGAUAGCUAAUACCGCAUAAUAUUAAUUAUUGCAUGAUAAUUAAUUGAAAGGUGCAAUUGCACCACUACCAGAUGGACCUGCGUUGUAUUAGCUAGUAGGUGAGGUAACGGCUCACCUAGGCGACGAUACAUAGCCGACCUGAGAGGGUGAUCGGCCACACUGGGACUGAGACACGGCCCAGACUCCUACGGGAGGCAGCAGUAGGGAAUCUUCGGCAAUGGACGAAAGUCUGACCGAGCAACGCCGCGUGAGUGAAGAAGGUUUUCGGAUCGUAAAGCUCUGUUGUAAGAGAAGAACGGGUGUGAGAGUGGAAAGUUCACACUGUGACGGUAUCUUACCAGAAAGG
rnacentral:rRNA from 1 species